rnacentral:lncRNA from 1 species
CUUCUUGAAGAUUCACUUGUACCCUAUUGAGGUCACACCCUCAGGUGCAUCAGUCAAGGUCCACACUUGGUUGGUGUACAUCGAGUCCAUCUCACAUUUCAUAGCUUCCAGCCAUCAUCUGAGUCUCUACUCAUGACAGCUUCCGAAUAGGUCAGUGGAUCAUCAUCCUGAAUGAUGUUAAUCGAAUUGUCAUUCUCAAUAAUAAAACCACAUCUCAGAGGUGUUUAACGCACUCUAUCUGAUCUUCGGAGAGGAGGUGUGUGCUGUG